UGAUCACCGAAGUUAAGCAACCUCGAGCCUAGUCAGUACCUAGAUGGGUGACCGCUUGGGAAUACCAGAU
rnacentral:rRNA from 1 species